rnacentral:rRNA from 1 species
CCUACGGGAGGCAGCAGUGAGGAAUAUUGGUCAAUGGACGAGAGUCUGAACCAGCCAAGUAGCGUGAAGGAUGACUGCCCUAUGUGUUGUAAACUUCUUUUAUAUGGGAAUAAAGUGUUCCACGUGUGGGAUGUUGUAUGUACCAUAUGAAUAAGGAUCGGCUAACUCCGUGCCAGCAGCCGCGGUAAUACGGAGGAUCCGAGCGUUAUCCGGAUUUAUUGGGUUUAAAGGGAGCGUAGGUGGAUUGUUAAGUCAGUUGUGAAAGUUUGAGGCUCAACCGUAAAAUUGCAGUUGAAACUGGCAGUCUUGAGUACAGUAGAGGUGGGCGGAAUUCGUGGUGUAGCGGUGAAAUGCUUAGAUAUCACGAAGAACUCCGAUUGCGAAGGCAGCUCACUGGCCUGAAACUGACACUGAGGCUCGAAAGUGUGGGUAUCAAACAGGAUUAGAUACCCCAGUAGUC